rnacentral:rRNA from 1 species
ACGGUAACAGGAAGCAGCUUGGCUGCUUUGCUGACGAGUGGCGGACGGGUGAGUAAUGUCUGGGAAACUGCCUGAUGGAGGGGGAUAACUACUGGAAACGGUGGCUAAUACCGCAUAACGUCGCAAGACCAAAGAGGGGGACCUUCGGGCCUCUUGCCAUCAGAUGUGCCCAGAUGGGAUUAGCUUGUUGGUGAGGUAACGGCUCACCAAGGCGACGAUCCCUAGCUGGUCUGAGAGGAUGACCAGCCACACUGGAACUGAGACACGGUCCAGACUCCUACGGGAGGCAGCAGUGGGGAAUAUUGCACAAUGGGCG